GCUUUCAUUUCGAUCUCCUCUGGGAUUGCUACUACGUUUUUCAUUGCUCUCUCAGCCUCCGACUGCAAAUGGAGCUCAAGCUCCUCCUCACUGACCCUCCACCUCUUCCUUCAUCCUCCACUUCGAAUCGAAUCACUCGCUAUCUCUCUCCAACUCAUCCCAUUCUGAUUCCCCCCAAUCCCAUUCCCGAUGGCAUCCAAGUCCAAAUUCCUCUUCAUUGGCGGCACUGAAAAGUUCAUCGCAUAGGCCAGCGCCAAGGCCGGCCACCCCACCUACUUUCUGGUCCGAGAACUACCCUCUAUAACCCGGCAAAGUCCAAAUUCCUCGAGAACCUCAAGGAUCUGGGCUUCAAUUUUGUCCUGGGUGAUCUGUACGAUUAUGAGAGCUUGGUGAAGGCGAUCGAGCAAGUCGACGUGGUAAUCUCGACGGUGGGGCACGCGCAGUUGGCUGAUCAGGCCACACAUGCUAUAGAACUUAACUGGGUGAUGUGCUUUGAGUUUUGGAACCGCUCUCUGCUCAUGCCCUAUGAUAGCAUUGGUGACCUCCCUUCAAAAAAAAAAAAGAUCUUUCCAGUAAAUAGGAUUUAUGAAAUGCUUAAUUUGGGUCUGGGGUUGCUUUUUUCUCAUGAUAAAAUUUGGUGUGUGCCAUCCGGAACAGUUAUUAGGCAUUUUGAUGAGGUUUGUUGCAGUAAAGGGGGCGGCUAGGAAAAUGUUGUAAUGGGUUUUCAAGAAUAGCUCUGCGGCUUGGAGGGAUGAGACGACUAUGGUGGUUUUGGUGCCGGUGGGAAUGAAUAUUAUAGGUCCAUAUUUUUGGGAUAGGCGUCAGAGGCUGCGGUAUGGGUGGUUGCUUAUCAUAUGAAGGUCACCAAUGACUAGUAGGUUCACGUGCAAAUGUGACUGGCGGGUCAAGUUCCACAAGGAGGUGGAAGCUGAAGAAGAAUUGGCGUCACCCUUCAAUUUUUCAACCAAAAAGAGUUCAAUGUUGUCGUACAAAACAAAGGAGGGAGAUACCAUUAAUGGAGUUAUGGAUUUGGAUGUCUUCAGUGGAUUAAAACUGGAUUUUUUUAACUUUAUAUAGUUGUAAACAUAUGCAAUUUAGGACGAGAUAGAGCCAUAGGUUACGAAAAAGUCCUUGAGCAUCCCCAAUUUGUUUUUCUUGAGCAUCACCAAUUUUUGUAAUGUAAUAUACGAAUGUAAAUAACACUUGAUUAACAUAUGGAUGUAACACGUAUAUAAACCCCACUUCUUAGCAUAUAUGUUUUAGCACUUUCCACAUCUUCAACAAUGCUUCAAAUCCCGUAGCAACACGCGGGUACAUUUUCUAGUGUAUUAACUAUUUGAACACCGUCAUCAUAUUUUUACUCCGUUUGGUAUA